rnacentral:rRNA from 1 species
UACGUAGGGGGCUAGCGUUGUCCGGAAUCAUUGGGCGUAAAGAGCGUGUAGGCGGCCCGGUAAGUCCGCUGUAAAAGUCAAAGGCUCAACCCUUGAAUGUCAGUGGAUACUGCCGGGCUAGAGUCCGGAAGAGGCGAGUGGAACUCCUGGUGUAGCGGUGGAAUGCGUAGAUAUCUGGAGGAACACCGGUGGCGAAAGCGGUUCACUGGCCCGACACUGACACUGAGGUGCGAAAGCUAGGGUAGCAAACGGG